CGUGAGAUUGCUGUGUAGCCUACGUAGCUUUUAAUGUCUAACGUGAUGUCAGGUGCGUCCAUAAUUUGGACUGAAACGAGACCUCGUAUUUACCUCUUUGUCGACAUUUUCUACAGUCAAACUUUUCUCUAUUCUGAAACUCCAUCAUAUUCGUGUAAUGGUCCGUCUCUUUUUAACCAGUUAGCAGGGAGAAUUAUGGGUCCUGGAAAACAAGAUCCUGUCACCUGGACUGAUCAGCUGCUCAGCCUACAAUUCUGCAGGGCACCAACCUACUGUCUGUCCUGCACUAAAGGCAACAACCACAUGGCUUAAAUCAUUCUCUGCCAAAACACAAGCAACGACAGGUGCAGACCAGAUCUCUAUGCACUGACAAAAUACAGACUCUGCUGUGCCAACACAGAUGCUGACAUCUUUGGAGAUGAUUGAUUUGCCCCGUCUGGCCAGAGAGGAAUGGAGAGGAGAGCUGAGCUAGAGCCUCCCCGGGGCUGCAGCUUCCUGCUGCCCUGCCAUGGCACCACCACAGUGUCACUUCACCAGUGAUGGAGCCCCCAGACCCCCCUGUCUCCCAUCCCUUGUCUCCAGCAAGCUGCUGCAAUCAGCACAGGCCCUGAUUGGAAAUUGGGCAGGACAGAUUGGGAAGCCGUGAUGGCGGCACAGAAGUUGAGGGAGAAGCUAUUUAUCCCAGACGGAUCAGGAGGUGUGUGACAGAGGUGUGGACGGUUGCUGCAGGUCAGUGACGUUGGCAGGCGCCAGGCAGGCCGGCCCACAUGGCUCGGGGACUGUGGGACUACAGACAGAUGGCACCUGGUGGGUGACAAACAAUUAACAAACCAACAAGAAUAGCUGGAUCGGCAGUAUACCCACAAGCACAGGAGAUAGCAAGAGAGCGGGUGCAUCUGUGCUCUGAACACUUUCACUCUUUACUUUUCCUCUUCCCGAGUCUUGUUUUGUAUAACAGUUGCAAUUUACCCAUGUGUCUUCUUCACAAAAACAGUCUUGUUGUCGUGUCGCUAUAGAACAUUCUAAAUAAAGCACUGUUGAACAUAUGCAGCCAGCAUAUGUUUCUGUUUAUUUCAGUGCAGUUUUGAGAGAAGCAGUGGGUGAUUUAAAUGUAUAAUACAAAGAAACAACAUAUUUGAUAUCUACUUAAAUGUUAAGCAAAAGUUAUAAACAAUCAUAACAAGUUGCUUACAGCAAAAGCAGUAUGUGGCAUUGUUGUGCGUGUUUUUUGUAAAUGUCACGCUGGAAAUUGAACGUGUUUGUACUAAAGUGAGCAUGGUGGCCGAUGGCAUAUCACCACCUAACUAUAUCCAAAUGUCAUGGUGAUAGGGUGUUUCUACACUCCACUCCCACUUACUGUUCAACGAAUUUACAACUUUUGUAAUAUCUCUUUCAAGAGCCGGGAGAGAUUAUUAUUGAUACAUACCUAACUGCGUGUAAGUAAACGGCUGUCUUCUAGUAGAAUUAUUGGUUUGGA